rnacentral:lncRNA from 1 species
UUGUAUUACUUGUUCUUAUUAAAUUAAUUGACCAACUAAAGUUGGGGUUGAAUCCCAUAAAAUCUAGAAAUAUCAAAGGUGAAUAUGGGCCCAUUCGCCUGCCAUGUAUACCACAUAUUAUGCAUCUAUGAUAUGGUUACAUGUGCGAUUAUUAUUAACCUGUAGCCUGGCCGGUGCUUGCGAGGUAAAUUGCUCAGUAAUCUAAUUUCGAGCAUAAUUUCC